rfam:Melampsora larici-populina 98AG31 unplaced genomic scaffold MELLAscaffold_72, whole genome shotgun sequence.
CCGGGAACCCUUCAGUAUGAAGUGGUAAACCCUAAAGUUGAAAAAGAGGGAGCGCACUUUGCAAAAUUUGCUUGGUUGCCGUUGCAUAUUCGCUUGUGGGCUCAGCACUACUUAGAGGAUCACAUUGAGCAAUGGGAUGAUGCGGCUCGUUGGUUGAUAGUGAAGGUGUUACAACCUGUUUCCAGUGCGAAUGAGGGUGGUGAUUUUUUGAUGAUCCCUAAGAUGCUCGAUGCGUGGAUAAGUAAACCUGUUAUACUCGGACGUAAUGUCAUAACUAUUCCAGUAGGAAGAGACGAAAGCAAACAGUUUUAUUUAGUCACACUAGAAAGUCUUAAGGCUAGAAAAAGACUGCGUGAAUUCAAACGUUUGGAUCGGGGAGUAUACAUUGGAACUGCCGACCUACCGGGUACAUUGUUACUCUUUGAUGUCGUACUGAAGGAUCAGACGAGUCCAAAGAUGGAAAGCCUCCUUGUGGGAAUCAAAGGGUUGCCAGAGCUAGCAUAUAAAAAUUGGGUUCAGGGCUGCUUAAUGUCAGUGCGACAACGAGCUUCUAAUGAUCCGUGGGACUGGGAGGGCAUAUUUGAAAGAGAUUUCAAUAAACCUGAAUGGUCCGGAACGGGGAAGAGGAUCGUAGAAGUCCAGUUCUCCGGAGAAAAGAAUGUUGCAAUGGUUAUCAGUAGAUGCCAUAGAAGGGUUUGAUGUUAAAAUGGCGGGUUGGAAACAGAAGGCAGGCCAAUGGGUCCAGACUGAUAAAGUCUACAAAGCCAUCUGUAGCCUUCCCCCCACAUGCGGUUCUUGCGGACUAACGUGCGCUCGAAACGAACACAAACCCAAGUGCCCCUUCCACCUUAUAAAGGAUGACCUUCUCUCGAGAGGGAAGUUCAAACAAGGUUCAGCGAAAGUAAAGGUUCCUACGGGAGGGAUUAACACCGAGCCGAGAGCACAACCAAAGGCGAAGGAGGAAAAGUCGAACGCGUUUGCUAGAGUGUUAGAUGAUUAAAAAAGUUGUGAAAUUAAAUAAGUUUUGAUGAAAUUGAAAUUUAAAAGACUGGCUUAUCUUAGUUUGUGAAAACCAAGUAAUAAUACAGUGAUCAUUUGGGUGAAUCUUAAAACAUCAUCUGAGAUAACACGAGUAACUCCUAACAGAGAGGAGUGAAAGCUCCUGGACGGUGUUUCGUCGAGAAAUUUCUCCCUGAACAGUCAGAAUGGUUGAAAGACUACUUCUGCAAGGCGCGUCCGUUCAAAAAAAAAAAAAAAAAAAAAAAAAAAAAUUGCGAUAACGAACGAGACCUUCUCCUGCUAAAUAGCUUGGUUGGCUACGGCUGACUAAAGCUUCUUAGAGGGACUAUUAAUAUUUAGUUGAUGGAAGUUGGAGGCAAUAACAGGUCUGUGAUGCCCUUAGAUGUUCUGGGCCGCACGCGCGCUACACUGACCAAGCCAGCGAGUAUAUAACCUUAUCCGAAAGGAUUGGGUAAUCUUGUGAAACUUGGUCGUGAUGGGGAUAGAGCAUUGCAAUUAUUGCUCUUCAACGAGGAAUACCUAGUAAGCGUAUGUCAUCAGCAUGCGUUGAUUACGUCCCUGCCCUUUGUACACACCGCCCGUCGCUACUACCGAUUGAAUGGCUUAGUGAGGCGUUCGGAGAGCCUAUAGGGUGCUGGCAACAGUGCUUUACUGGUUCAAAGUUCUACGAACUUGGUCAUUUAGAGGAAGUAAAAGUCGUAACAAGGUUUCCGUAGGUGAACCUGCGGAAGGAUCAUUA